GGCUGGCCCAAAGGUAGUGAGUUAUCUCAAUUGACUGUUCACACUCAGUUACAAAUCAAACUCCUUGUUCUAUUAUUUCCUCCCUUUUCACUACUGCACUUGAUUGAUUAGUCUUAA
ensembl:misc_RNA Y_RNA Y RNA